UUGUUGACUAACAGUGGUGU
rnacentral:piRNA from 1 species